UACGUAGGGCGCAAGCGUUAUCCGGAAUUAUUGGGCGUAAAGAGCUCGUAGGCGGUUUGUCGCGUCUGCCGUGAAAGUCCGGGGCUCAACUCCGGAUCUGCGGUGGGUACGGGCAGACUAGAGUGAUGUAGGGGGAGACUGGAAUUCCUGGUGUAGCGGUGAAAUGCGCAGAUAUCAGGAGGAACACCGGUGGCGAAGGCGGGUCUCUGGGCCGAUACUGACACUGAGGAGCGAAAGCGUGGGGAGCGAACAGG
rnacentral:rRNA from 1 species